rnacentral:sRNA from 1 species
GUGGUUUGCUGCCAAGGAGAGAAGAGAAAGACUGAAAAUUCCUCCAUCACUUGCUUACGUAUUCAGCUCUUACUGAACAAAACAUCUUAUUCUUACUUUCUAGGGGACAGAUGAUUUCUGCUGAAGAUUGUGAGUUUAUUCAGAGGUUUGAAAUGAAACGGAGCCCUGAAGAGAAGCAAGAGAUGCUUCAAACUGAAGGCAGCCAGUGUGCUAAAACAUUUAUAAAUCUGAUGACUCAUAUCUGCAAAGAACAGACCGUUCAGUAUAUACUAACUAUGGUGGAUGAUAUGCUGCAGGAAAAUCAUCAGCGUGUUAGCAUUUUCUUUGACUAUGCAAGAUGUAGCAAGAACACUGCGUGGCCCUACUUUCUGCCAAUGUUGAAUCGCCAGGAUCCCUUUACUGUUCAUAUGGCAGCAAGAAUUAUUGCAAAGUUAGCAGCUUGGGGAAAAGAAUUGAUGGAAGGCAGUGACUUAAAUUACUAUUUCAAUUGGAUAAAAACUCA